rnacentral:rRNA from 1 species
UGGGGAAUAUUGGACAAUGGGCGAAAGCCUGAUCCAGCCAUGCCGCGUGUGUGAAGAAGGUCUUCGGAUUGUAAAGCACUUUAAGUUGGGAGGAAGGGCAGUAAGCGAAUACCUUGCUGUUUUGACGUUACCGACAGAAUAAGCACCGGCUAACUCUGUGCCAGCAGCCGCGGUAAUACAGAGGGUGCAAGCGUUAAUCGGCAUUACUGGGCGUAAAGCGCGCGUAGGUGGUUCGUUAAGUUGAAUGUGAAAGCCCCGGGCUCAACCUGGGAACUGCAUCCAAAACUGGCGAGCUGGAGGAGGGCAGAGGGGGGUGGAAUAUCCUGUGUAGCGGUGAAAUGCGUAGAUAUAGGAAGGAACACCAGUGGCGAAGGCGACCACCUGGGCGCAUACUGACACUGAGGUGCGAAAGAGUGGGGAGCAAACAGG